AGGCUCUCGAGAGAUUGACAGAAGAGAGUGAGCACACGGCGCGACGAACGACAUAGCAUGUAUGCCGUCCUCGCCGCGUGCUCACUUCUCUUUCUGUCAGCCUCUUUCUCUCGAUGGCU